AGGUCAUAGGUGCAAACUGAGGGAGGGACAAACUGUGUUGGGUGACAUGAGGUCCUGGACUAACUGCUCAUACAGCUUACUGGUAUCCUCUCCUCCUGCUUGGGCUUGAACACAGAUGUACCAUUUCCAUCUUACAAUGAACAGCUGUUGGGCCUACCUGACUUCAUUGACCUGGUAUUUCUGACAGAAUCUAACUCAUAAUGUAGAGUUCUGGAUGCACAGCCACUUGGUGCCCCAUAGUCAAAUGUUCCAUCUCUACAGGACAGAGCACUUGCCAGGAGUUGUUUCUUAAAAGCUUUGGGACCUCAUCAUGCCCAUAAUUAUGAACAAGCCAAGUUUAUGACCAUCAACCAAGAACAAUGGUGCCCAUCUCUCCAGUGCAUUCCUGAAGGCCUUGGUGAAUCGCAUGUUUCUUCAAGUUUCCCAUUAAACGGCUGAUGGAUCUUCUGCCCUCACAUAAUAUAUCUGUUCCAGCAUGUCCACUUCCCUGAGCCUUUUCAUCCUUUCCCACACUGUUGGCCAUGCAUGCCUCCAACUGACUUCCUGGGAGACAACAACUCUUCUGAUAUCAUAGGAAUUAAUGUAAUUUACCUUCUGAUGUGAAAGGAAUUUUUAUGUGCCAUAACUUAACUGUCCUCCUGUUGCUUUGUUGUUCUUAUGAAUAUUGCAAACUAUGGAUUAUGUAGGUUAAAAGUGAAUUGCAUUAUGAUUAUGACGUUUUUAUUGUUGAAGUGUCUGAUUUAGUUAUUUGUUAUACCGUUUUGUUUUAUAUUUUAUUAGUGUUUGUAUUUUGCAAUCAAGUCUGAUGGUCCAGUAUGGCAAUUUUUGAAGGAUGUUGGAUGGAAGAGGAUGCUUCUAGAGUUAGGCCUAUGAAUAACUCUCAUACAGUAGGUGAUGAAGAAUUAUAAUCUUCUUGGUUAUUUCAGUGCACUAGUACAUCAAGGGAGACCCCCAGAAAAGUUCUUUCAUUACAAGUGAAAAUAUUUAUCAAUGGAUUUUGC
rnacentral:lncRNA from 1 species